rnacentral:rRNA from 1 species
UACGUAGGUGACAAGCGUUGUCCGGAUUUACUGGGCGUAAAGCGCGUGUAGGUGGCGAGGCAAGUCGGGUGUGAAAGCCCUGGGCUCAACCCAGGAAGUGCACUCGAUACUGCCUAGCUAGAGUCCCGGAGAGGUUGGUGGAACUCUCGGUGUAGAGGUGAAAUUCGUAGAUAUCGAGAAGAACACCGGUGGCGAAGGCGGUCGACUGGGCCAGUACUGACGCUGAGGCGCGACAGCGUGGGGAGCAAACAGG